UGAAGUAGAGAGAUGUUAGUGAAGUCAUCCAGUGUCACACAGCUCAUAAGUAGAGGACUUAGGAUUUGAACGUUGUUCCCUCUGACUUCUAGAUGCCAAGUUAUACUUCAUGAUGUGAUGUAAACUGCCUAAAACUGCUUUUAAUUGGUAGACUUUGUUGAGUGUGUCACCAUCAACCACACACAAAAAAUGGAAACAUGUAUGAAUGACUCUUAAAGAAUUAAUAGAUUCAAGCCUGCUGAUUCCUUGUCAACAGGUCUACAUGAAGAAGAAAUGAUGGGACCAAACAAUCAGGAAGCAGGGAAGCACUGCACCAGCUCCUAACACAAGAGUGCAACAUGUUAUCCACUAGAUAUGACACAACCAGAUUGCCCCUACAGCCAAUGCUUCAGGAAGAAACAGCCUUAUACUCACAGCAUAUGUUUUCUUGCCCUUCAACCUCCUGCUAUAGGAUGAUACAGUAAGAAGGCCCUCACCAGAUACAGGCCCCAGGACCUUGGACUUUCCAGCCUCCAGAACUGUAAGGAAUAAAUCCCUGUUCCUUAUAAAUUACCCAGUCUCAGGUAUUCUGUUAAUAGCAGCAUAAAACAAAUUAAGACAAUAUAUGUUUAGAAUAAGAAACUAUGUUUUUAAAAAUAUUUUUGAUAAAAGCUAAUUACUUGAAAUCAUGAAUUAUGUGGUCAUAGGAGGUUUAUAUUUACCUACCAACAUUGUGAUAAUAAACUCUCUAUUAUUACUCUGUCUUUAUUCUGGAACCUCAAUAUUACGUCAGUAGUGUCAGGCCUCUGAGCCCAAGCUAAACCAUCAUAUCCCCUGUGACCUGCACGUACACAUCCAGAUGGCCUGAAGCAACUGAAGAAUCGCAAAAGAAGUGAUAAUGGCUGGUGUCUGCCUUAACUGAUGACAUUCCACCAUUGUGAUUUGUUUCUGCCCCACCUUAACUGAUGACAUUCCACCAUUGUGAUUUGUUUCUGCCCCACCUUAACUGAGCAAUUAACCUUGUGAAAUUCCUUCUCCUGACUCAGAAGCUCCCCCACUAAGCACCUUGUGACCCCUGCCCCUCCCCACAAGAGAACAACCCCCUUUGACUGUAAUUUUCCACUACCCACCCAAAUCCUAUAAAAUGGCCCCAUACCUGUCUCCCUUUGCUGACUCUCUUUUUGGACUUGCUCGCCUGCACCCAAGUAUUUAAAAAGCUUUUUUGCUCAUACAAAGCCUGUUUGGUGGUCUCUUCACAUGGACAUGUGUGACAUUUGGUGCUGUGACUUGAAUUGGGGGACCGCACUUGGGAGAUCAGUCCCGUGUCCUCCUGCUCUUUGCUCUGUGAGAAAGAUCCACCUACGACCUCUGGCCCUCAGACCAAUCAGCCCAAGGAAUAUCUCACCAAUUUUAAAUCUGAAGAAAAUAACCAUGUGACAAGAGACACACAAGGAGAAGGCCACGUGAUGAGGAAGGCAAGUACUGGAGUUGUGCAGUUGCAAGGCAAGGAAAUCCAAAGAUUCCUGGUGUUGGGGUGCACAAAACAAUACUCCAAAAUAUCAGGCUUUGGAAUGCUG
rnacentral:lncRNA from 1 species